UACACACUGAACUUUGUUAAAAUGUGCAAAAUACUAUGUAUUUAUAAGUCAAUUUAAUUAACUUGUUUUUUCUUUUCUGAAAACACGUUUUCAUGUACUUGCCGCAAUUAUAUAUUGCUUGCUAUAAACUUUGUAAAAGAGUUUUAUGCAAUAAAUUUAUGUUAUGCUAUAUUUAGAGGUAAUUUUCACGGUGUUUGACCACUAAUAACUGCCUCCAGGCGGAUUAAAUUUAUACUGGCCAGUUGUCAAUUACAGUGUUAUGACACCUUCACUCAGGAAGCCAGAGGGGGUAAACAAUUAAUCUUUUAAUUGAUCAAAACUAUUGCCGAUAAUUAUUUGUUGGAAGGGGCACGUAGAUAUACCAAUCAAAGGAUUAGUGUCACCGUUGCAAUGGGGAUAAUCAUUCGUUAUAAGCGUUCUAGACUAGUUUAUAAAAACUUGACAAUAAAAUUAUAUAAAAAUGAAAAAUUUCUUGCUUCAAAGUAGAUUAUUUUCGUUUUUUUACCGGGACAUAAAUCAUCUCCGGGACAGACACCUUAUUUCCGGGACAGUCCCGGACAUCCAGGACGUAAUGGCAUGUAUGGUUAUGAUAAUUUUUUUAUUAUUUUAAUUUUUGAACCAACAGGUGAAAUUUGAGGAGCACUUUGUAAGAGAGAUAAUAGGAGCAAGUGUAUACCAGCAAUGCUGUACUGAUGUUCUAGAUGAUAUUUCUACAAAUUUAGAGGUGAUCCAUUGACAGAUAGUUAUAUAUAUCAGAACAAGUGUGAUUCAUUGACAGAUAGUUAUAUAUAUCAGAACAAGUGUGAUCCAUUGACAGAUAGUUGUAUAUAUCAGAACAAGUGUGAUCCAUUGACAGAUAGUUGUAUAUAUCAGAACAAGAGUGAUCCAUUGACAGAUAGCUGUAUAUAUCAGACCAAGAGGAGGCAGAAAGACUUAUGGAGAAACUGUCAAGUUAACCUAGAGGGGAAAAGAGGCACAGUACAGAGGCUGCUCAAAUUUUCCAGGACACUGCUGGGUGGAAAUCAUAAGGAACUUGGAUGAAAUAUUACGUAGCCGAAGGUCUCCGUAUAUACUCACAGGACACAUGGAAACAAGUGAUGGGAGAGCAGGGGAAACAACUGGUACAUCGGACAAGUGGUUGACUAAUACAUGUAUAUAGAAGGGAUAUGGGCAGACAACCAUGCUGUGAGAGAAGCUGCCUGUGCAUGUAUUGCAGAACUUGGAGGUGAACAAAGAUGUUGUGGACAUGUAUAUUACAAGGUUGUUAGAGGCUCUUCUAAUCAGUUAAAGUGAUGGCAGCUGGACAGUAAGAGAUGGUCAUCUAUACCAGCAUUGUAUCCACUGUUUUUCAACAAUCUACAAGAUAAUAUACCAUCAGCGCAGCAGGGGCGGCCCUUGCUCUCCCAAGUGUAUAUGGUAUAUACAGUUUUU